GCCGGGGUAGCCAAAUGGUAAAGGCGUGGGCUUUAGGCACCCAUGGAAUCAAUCCUUUAGGGGUUCGAUUCCCCUCUCCGGCA
rnacentral:tRNA from 1 species